rnacentral:rRNA from 1 species
UACGUAGGCAGCGAGCGUUGUUCGGAGUUACUGGGCGUAAAGGGUGUGUAGGCGGUUGUUUAAGUUUGGUGUGAAAUCUCCCGGCUCAACUGGGAGGGUGCGCCGAAUACUGAAUGACUCGAGUGUGGGAGAGGUGAGUGGAAUUCCUGGUGUAGCGGUGAAAUGCGUAGAUAUCAGGAGGAACACCGGUGGUGUAGACGGCUCACUGGACCAUAACUGACGCUGAGACACGAAGACGUGGGUAGCAAACAGG